rnacentral:lncRNA from 1 species
CAGUCCCACCAACAGUGUAAAAGUGUUCCUAUUUCUCCACAUCCUCUCCAGCACCUGUUGUUUUCUGACUUUUUAAUGAUCUCCAUUCUAACUGAUAUGAGAUGGUAUCUCAUUGUGGUUUUGAUUUUCAUUUCUCUGAUGGCCAGUGAUGAAGAGCAUUUUUUCAUGUGUUUUUUGGCUGCAUAAAUGUCUUCUUUUGAGAAGUGUCUGUUCAUAUCCUUUGCCCACUUUUUGAUGGGGUUGUUUGUUUUUUUCUUGUAAAUUUGGUUGAGUUCAUUGCAGAUUCUGGAUAUUAGCCCUUUGUCACAUGAGUAGGUUGCAAAAAUUUUCUCCCAUUCUGUAGGUUGACUGUUCACUCUGAUGGUGGUUUCUUUUGCUGUGCAGAAGCUCUUGAGUUUAAUUAGAUCCCAUUUGUCAAUUUUGGCUUUUGUUGCCAUUGCUUUUGGUGUUUUAGACAUGAAGUCCUUGCCCAUGCCUAUGUCCUGAAUGGUAUUGCCUAGGUUUUCUUCUAGGGUUUUUAUGGUUUUAGGUCUAACAUGUAAGUCUUUAAUCCAUCUUGCAUUAAUUUUUGUAUAAGGUGUAAGGAAGGGAUCCAGUUUCAGCUUUCUACAUAAGGCUAGCCAGUUUUCGCAGCACCAUUUAUUAAAUAGGGAAUCCUUUCCCCAUUGCUUGUUUUUGUCAGGUUCAUCAAAGAUCAGAUAGUUGUAGAUAUGCGGCAUUAUUUCUGAGGGCUCUGUUCUGUUCCAUUGGUCUAUAUCUCUGUUUUGGUACCAGUACCAUGCUGUUUUGGUUACUGUAGCCUUGUAGUAUAGUUUGAAGUCAGGUAGCAUAAUGCCUCCACCUUUGUUCUUUUGGCUUAGGAUUGACUUGGUGAUGCGGGCUCUUUUUUGACUCCAUAUGAACUUUAAAGUAAUUUUUUCCAAUUCUGUGAAGAAAGUCAUUGGUAGCUUGAUGGGGAUGACAUUGAAUCUAUAAAUUACUUUGGGCAGUAUGGCCAUUUUCACGAUAUUGAUUCUUCCUAUCCAUGAGCAUGGAAUGUUCUUCCAUUUGUUUGUAUCCUCUUAUUUCACUGAGCAGUGGUUUGUAGUUCUCCUUGAAGAGGUCCUUCACAUCCCUUGUAAGUUGGAUUCCUAGGUAUUUUAUUCUCUUUGAAGCAAUUGUGAAUGGGAAUUCACUUAUGAUUUGGCUCUCUGUUUGUCUGUUAUUGGUGUAUAAGAAUGCUUGUGAUUUUUGUACAUUGAUUUUGUAUCCUGAGACUUUGCUGAAGUUGCUUAUCAGCUUAAGGAGAUUUUGGGCUGCGAUGAUGGCGUUUUCUAGAUAUACAAUCAUGUCAUCUGCAAACAGGGACAAUUUGACUUCCCCUUUUCCUAAUUGAAUGCCCUUUAUUUCCUUCUCCUGCCUGAUUGCCCUGGCCAGAACUUCCAACACUAUGUUGAAUAGGAGUGGUGAGAGAGGGCAUCCUUGUCUUGUGCCAGUUUUCAAAGGGAGUGCUUCCAGUUUUUGUCCAUUCAGUAUGAUAUUGGCUGUGGGUUUGUCAUAGAUAGCUCUUAUUAUUUUGAAGUACGUCCCAUCAGUACCUAAUUUAUUGAGAGUUUUUAGCAUGAAGGGCUGUUGAAUUUUGUCAAAGGCCUUUUCUGCAUCUAUUGAGAUAAUCAUCUGGUUUUUGUCUUUGGUUCUGUUUAUAUGCUGGAUUACAUUUAUUGAUUUUCAUAUGUUGAACCAGCCUUGCAUCCCAGGGAUGAAGCCCACUUGAUCAUGGUGGAUAAGCUUUUUGAUGUGCUGCUGGAUUCGGUUUGCCAGUAUUUUAUUGAGGAUUUUUGCAUCAAUGUUCAUCAAGGAUAUUAGUCUAAAAUUCUCUUUUUUUGUUGUGUCUCUGCCAGGCUUUGGUAACAGGAUGAUGCUGGCCUCAUAAAAUGAGUUAGGGAGGAUUCCCUCUUUUUCUACUGAUUGGAAUAGUUUCAGAAGGAAUGGUACCAGUUCCUCCUUGUACCUCUGGUAGAAUUCGGCUGUGAAUCCAUCUGGUCCUUGACUUUUUUUGAUUGAAAUUAGUUGAUAACGUCUUCCAGGAGACCUACGGCCAUCCUACUGAUAUGAACCAGAUCAUACCUGCCCUGAUGGGAUGCCAGAGAAAGACUGCUGCAAGGUACGCGCCACUCACAGACCUCUCCAUUUAUCUCACUGAUGCAAAGGACCCUGAGUAGGGAUCCUCUGGAAACAGAACAGAGGGAAGAAGAUACCUUCCCUGAAGCCCAGAUGUUCCAGAAGCCUGCGCCUCAUUCACAAAGUCACCCCAAAAAUGCCCUAGAGUUUGGAGUUUUGAAGAAGCGGGAAGAAGGCCUGAGUAAGGGCCUGGGAACCAAGUUAGAUCCUACUUCAGCAUCAGCACAUGCCAGCGAUGGUGCACACAGGUGGAGAGCGGCCUGCCCGUCUUUUCCAUGGUGCCCACAGACCCAUUUAGGAUGAAAGAUCAGAAAAUUCUCUCCAUGUCACCGCUUCUGAAACAUGUGAAUAUUAAUAUUUGGUGCCUAAAAGGCCAUGGCAAAUUUUCAUUGGUUUUAUCUUAUUCAUGAUUAUAGAGUUGAAAGAAUACAUAUUCCCAUGGGGAUCAAUGAAGACAUUCUCAUUUUGAAUGAAGUAGAAUAUAAGUUGUAAAGAUAUAGAAUUUUCCUGAACUGAACCUUGAACCAAAAAUCCCCUCAAUUAACCUGGAACUAAACACAGUCCCUGAAGAUAACAAGGAGUUUCAGGAUGCCACAGGGCUGUCUGUGCAGUAUGGGGCUUCUUGCUCUAUCUCUGGUAUCUGAGGCAGAUAGGCUACUCAGGCCCCUCUCUGGUCUCAAGGUGGGCUGGCUGAGAUGUCAGUUUCUUCCUCAGUGACAGCUUGGGUACAGUAUGUGUAAACUGAUUGUCAGCUGAGCUGAAGGGACUCUGCCCAUAUUGGAGUGUUCUACAAGAAGAGGUGUCAAACCUAAAGGUCUAAAAUUACUAUGAAAGGAGUAUUGGAAACCACUGGGACAAUUGUGAUCACAACUGGUGGUAGCCUUCUCGUUUGGGUGAGAAAGACAGAAAGGAGGAAGAUGUGUUAGUCAAGGUUCUCUAGAGGGACAAAACUAAUAGGAUAUAUGUAUAUAUGAGAGGGAGUUUAUUAAGGAGAAUUGACUCACUUGAUCACAAGGUAAAGUCCCAAGAUAGGCUGUCUGCAAGUUGAGGAGCAAGGAAGUCAUUGGUGGAUUGUUCUGGGUACCAAAACCUCAAAAGUAGGGAAAUCGACAGUGCAGCCUUCAGUCUGUGGUCAAAGGCUCGAGGGGCCCUGGCAGACCACUGGUGUAAGUCCAAGAGUCCCAGAAGCUGAAGAACUUGGAGUCUGAUGUUUGAGGGCAGGAAGCAUCCAGCACAGGAGAAAGACGGAUGCUGGAAGACUUAGCAAGUCUGUUCUUUCCAAUUUCUUCUGCCUGCUUUUAUUCUAGCCAUGCUGGCAGCUGAUUAGAUGGUGCCCUCCCAAAUUGAGGGUGGCUGUGCCUCUCCCAGUCCACUGACUCAAAUGUUAAUCUCCUUUGGCAACACCCUCACAGACACACCCAGGAACAAUACUUUGCAUCCUUCAUUCCAAUCAAGUUGACACUCAAUAUUAACCAUCACAGAAGGAGAAUUUCAGGCUGAGUCCAAACACUAUGGCCCCAGCCCCAGCUUCCCCUUUCUGGGUUGAAUAACCAGACUGAGCCUAAGAAAAGGAAAAGAGUUGACUUUCUCCCAAAAGGCCUGCAGCGGGUUAGAAAGCAAUGGUUUGGGGACCAUACUGAGUGCCUAGGAUGCUCUGGACCACAAAGCUUGAAGUCAAAUUGUUCAUGCACUUGUUUCAUGAUAGGAAGAGAGAGAGAGAGAGAGAGAGAGAGAGAGAAAUUUCCUUUCCUUGAAGAAUGGCAAAACACGUCUCUUGUUCUGGGGGCUAUAUCUUGAAGGGUAUCUGAUCUCCCCCUCAUGGGAGGAACUAGAAUGCCCUAAGGCAGCCGUGGCUCCUGGAGCUGAGAGAUCUUUCUGACACUUUGUGAGAGCUGCAAGGCUAAGUCUGGAGCCAGAAAAGUCCAUGUGGACAAGUGCAGAGCAAGCAGAUCUGAGACACAUGUGGGAGCAAGCUGGACAUGUCCAAAAGUCAGAGGAAGCAAGAGCAGACAUGCAUGAGCAGGCAGAUGAGGCUGGUGCCCAGGCAGCAGGCUGAGGCUCUGGCUGGGCUUUGGAUGCUCCUGAGAGUCCAGUUAGAGACCAGUGAGCAAACCCACAGUGAACUCUUAUUCCUCACGCAGCAGGACGAGGGAUUAAGCACAAAGCCUUAAAGGUCUGAGUGUCUCUUUAUCCUGACCUCAGGAAAGAGAGGCAAGUAUCAUGUUUCUAAAAGUCUGAGAAGUCUUCACAUGACAGCCUACACCAAAAGAACUCAAAUGCACAUCCACUGCAUACACGCAUGUGUGCACACAUAUACAUGUGUACACAUGCAUGCCCACACACAACCCUCUGGAAGAGGAAGUAAAGAGACUUUAUGUUUUCAGCCCCUCUUGAGGAAACUUAAACUAAGUCUUUCUGUGGGGUUAGUGGUGGAGACAGAGAGGGUCUGGGGUCACCGAGGCCGAGGUGGCUGGACCCAGAGGGUAGAGCUGAGGGGAUCCCCUGAGACUGGGAAGAUGGAGCAGAAGCAGAUGGCAGAUGGCAGCAGGUGAGAGCAGACUGGAUUUCUCCUAAAUCACCAGAUCCAGCCAACCUUUCUUUCCUUAGGGACACCUCUAGAUCCCAUUCCAAAUGAACUCUUUCUCUGACCUUUCACCUCAAUUCAGAAUUUGGGAAAUUUAGCCAUGAUCUUAGGAACACAGAGGCUUGAAACAAUCUUUUCUAACCACCCGUUUGUUCAGACUGUGUAAGUUCUGCUUCUGCAUCCAGUGUCAACACCCAAGAACCAUUUUAAAGGGGAGCCAUCCUUUGAAAUUAAACUUCUUUUAAUAAUAAAGACAGAUUUCAGGGUUGACAUAAAAGAUAGCCACAGUAAAGCCAAUCCUCCAGUGUAUAACAUUUUUCAAAGUUUCCUUCCUCUUCAUUGCUGGUGUUCAUGUACAGUCCAGAGUUAGUCUACAUUAAAUUAUAGAUUGUUUUCAGCAAUAAUGCAAACAUUUGGAAGCCUUCAAACUCUCUGAUAACUAACUUCUACAUUCUCUCUGCUAUUAUUAUAUAGAAAGGGAAAUUUUACCUGAUGCUGUUAAAGUCCUCACGAACAUAGUGAUCCGAAUUGGCUGAAGUGGAAAACUAAAUGUUAGCUGAUUUUCAAAACAAGAUUUCCACUCUGAAUUCCCAUUUUUCACAUGUGAUCAUAUGCCUUGUUGUGAAGUUGAACUAAAAAGAAACUCCAUGCCCACUGGCUUAAUGCUAGAAGAUAAUCUACAGCAUAGUAAUUUCUUAGACUUCACUUUAUUAGCCACUAAACUUGGAAUGAUUAUUUCUAUGUUCAAUUAUUAAGUCUAUAUCUCCAUUUCUUAAAAAGGUCUGAGGCAGCCCCUUUGAAUAUUAAUACGCAUUUAUUUUCACCUCUCAAAUAAAA